UGACUGGGCUCAGCUCAGCCAUUCUUGCUCAGAGCCUCUGACAUGGCUGCAGAUGGUAGCUGGAGCUGGGGUUGCCUUAAAUAUUUAUUGGCUUGUUUUACUCCUGGGCUGGGAAGACAAAGAGCUGAGAGCAGGCCCAAUAGGGACUGACCAAGCUUCUCUCUCUCUUUCUCUAGGUGGUCUUUCCACUGAGCAGCCCCCAGUCCCAGACUUCUUAUGUGGUGACAGCUCCUCAGAGAAAAGAAGGUGCUGGAAAAUACCUUCACUAAUGAGUGAAAAGGCCAACCACAAAACCUAAGAGGGUAGAAGGAAGUUGUUCUUCCCCUAUAGAACUCAAGCAGCAAACCCAGCAGAUCAUCAUCUCCAAGGAGUGCUUGUAGGUUGGUUUUCAAAUCUCCAUGGACGUGGUAAGCAGGGCAGGUGCGUGAUUCCGGAAGAGUAUGGCAGGUUUGUGGUCGCCCUCUGGAGUGCAUGGCAAAUUCUCAAGCAAUCUUUCUGGGACUUAAAGCAGGUGAGCACAGACAAGAAAGGACAGAGUGGCCCUGUUGCGGUGAAGAGGGAAAACUGGAAAUAAAUCCAUGUGUGAGAGGUUGCUGAUGGGGAUU
rnacentral:lncRNA from 12 species